UACGUAGGGAGCAAGCGUUGUCCGGAAUCAUUGGGCGUAAAGCGCGCGUAGGUGGCCCCAUAAGUCCGCUGUGAAAGUCAAAGGCUCAACCUUUGAAAGCCGGUGGAUACUGUGGGACUAGAGUACGGAAGAGGCGAGUGGAAUUCCGGGUGUAGUGGUGGAAUGCGUAGAGAUCCGGAGGAACACCAGCGGCGAAGGCGGCAUCCUGGACUGGUCCUGACACUCAGGAGCGAAAGCGUGGGGAGCGAUCCGG
rnacentral:rRNA from 1 species